rnacentral:tRNA from 1 species
GUCCAGGGGCGGGAAUCGAACUCACACCCUUCUGCUUACCGGGCAGGUGCCUUGUCCACCUCGGCUACCCUGGA